CGCCUACACAUGCAAGCUCNAUACGGUAUGCAAGAGAGCUUGUCUCUCUGAUUUANACGGCGGCNCGGGAUGAGUAACUGCCUNNCGAAUCUGCCUGGUAGCUGGGGGAUAACGUUCCGAAAGGANCGCUAAUACCGCAUACGUCCNACGGGAGAAAGCUAGGGGACCUUCUGGCCUUGCGCUAUCANAUGANCCUANGUCGGAUUAGCUAGUUGGUGAGGUAAUGGCUCACCAANGCGACGAUCCGUAACUGGUCUGAGAGGAUGAUCAGUCACACUGGAACUGAAACACGGUCCAGACUCCUACGGGAGGCAGCAGUGGGGAAUAUUGGACAAUGGGCGAAAGCCUGAUCCAGCCAUGCCGCGUGUGUGAAGAAGGUCUUCGGAUUGUAAAGCACUUUAAGUUGGGAGGAAGGGCAUUAACCUAAUACGUUAGUGUUUUGACGUUACCAACAGAAUAAGCACCGGCUAACUUCGUGCCAGCAGCCGCGGUAAUACGAAGGGUGCAAGCGUUAAUCGGAAUUACUGGGCGUAAAGCGCGCGUAGGUGGUUCGUUAAGUUGGAUGUGAAAGCCCCGGGCUCAACCUGGGAACUGCAUCCAAAACUGGCNAGCUANANUACGGUANAGGGUANUGGAAUUU
rnacentral:rRNA from 2 species